ensembl:lncRNA
AAGCCAUACAGGCCAUAGUAAAAUGUUAUUCUUUCCAUUUUUGCUUAUGUUGAAUUCAUAAAAGAUUAGAUGUUUUGAUUCUGUCAUAAACACAGGUUUAACCCAGACUGAGUGAUAUUAUUCAAUGACUUCACAUGUCGACUUUUUAAAAAUAGCCCACUAAUUUCCAGUUAGUUUAGAUAGCUGUUAGCUACUGUCAACUAACAGACGAACUUAAAAAUGCUUAAAACAGUACACUAAAGUUCUCGUGGUAUAUUUGAAGUGCUAAAGAUAUAGGCCUAGGUGUUUUGUCGAAUUCUGAUCCAGAUCCUGACAAGGCGCGCUAGCAUAUGCACCUGCAAGCUCUUUGAUGGUUUUAACAAUUAGCCUAUAGAUGUGCAAUUGAAUCUUGUUACGUGUAAGCUUCGUAUACGCCUCUACCUAAAAUCUGAUUAGCCUAUAUGGAUAAGUUGCGUUUAUUUCUUUGCGUAUUCGCGGAUAGAACGAAACCGACGAGCUUUCUUUUUAGUCUUCCCAUAUGCCAAUUCAAAACAGCGAGCGAAUUAAGAUGGGCGUAACUCUAAAUGGAUCAUGCACGCGGACUUUGGAACAAUAACUCAUCAAUUCACGAUGAGAAGCCGUUUAAGCGCGAGCUGCUUGAGUUUCUGCACACGUCCACGCACGGGGACCAGCGACAGACUCGAUCACAGUAGUCCUCGGAGUAGUAGUAGCACUGGAUACUUGGCAGGAAUCUCGAGAACAUGUUGUGCACUUGAGCGUCAGAUCACUCAAGCCAGAAGCCAAUGGCUGUUUGCAACUAAUUGACAUCAGUGCUUUUCGUGACGUAGAUGCGAGUUAUUCUCGGGAAUAGUUCAUGGUUUUAACAAAUGCAUUGCUGCAAAGACCUCCGCCUUUACCAGUUUUUGACAUUUGCUUGUGGAUUAGAUUCUAUGGUGUUAUGGAUCACCUCAAGUUUGGCACUCAGAGAUGAGGGUUCAUCAUUGUCCACUAAGAGGAAAAGGAGACCUUGGGAAUCAGUGAUAAAACACAGAAAUGAACUGACCUCAGAUCAGGUGAGUGAUUUGGUAUUGUCAUGCACUCUCAAUAUGACCUUGACUUUCAUUUUGCAUGAGGUUGCAUGUUUAAGAGACAAAUAUGUAACAGGUUCUCUCACCGUUGCUGCAUAUAUGACUUGUAGGAGUAGGUUUGUUUAUAUCCUUUACGGGGAAGUAGCAUAUAUAAGCAUAUGAAUCCCUCAUGAAUAAUAACCAUAUAUUAUUUGCGCUUAGAAACAUGAGUAUAUGAUGCCCGGUAGUGUACACAUUUUUAAACUAAGUAAUUUUUUUGACCACAUAUUCUGUAUUUAUAUCAAGGGAACGUUUUUGUUAAGAUAUUGUGGUGAACUGACUUCCGCGAGACAUCAAAACGGGUUUCUUUUUCCCCAAAAAAUGCUGGAUGGCAAACAUAGGAGGGAUUACUAUGGCAACAGCGUUUGCCCUUGCUCAUUGGUGGUAAGGAGUAAAGCAGACUUAUAUCACAUGACUCCAGUCAGAGUCGUAUCCUGCAAGGCAUUGGCUUACAUGUUCGUUGGAUGCACUGUAUUUCGUAUUUUCUCCCAUUAAGCACCAAUACUUUUUUUUCUGCUUGGUUUUUUGGAGUCAG